GACGAACGCUGGCGGCGUGCUUAACACAUGCAAGUCGAGCGGUAAGGCCCUUUCGGGGGUACACGAGCGGCGAACGGGUGAGUAACACGUGGGUGACCUGCCCUCAGCUCUGGGAUAAGGCCUGGGAAACUGGGUCUAAUACUGGAUAUGACUCCACGGUGCAUGUCGUGGGGUGGAAAGCCUUGUGCGGCUGAGGAUGGGCCCGCGGCCUAUCAGCUUGGUUGGUGGGGUGANGGGCCUACCAAGGCGACGACGGGUAGCCGGCCUGAGAGGGCGACCGGCCACACUGGGACUGAGACACGGCCCAGACUCCUACGGGAGGCAGCAGUGGGGAA
rnacentral:rRNA from 1 species